GUGCAGCAGUCGCGAAAACUCCGCAAUACGCGAAAGCGUGACGGGGCUACCCCGAGUGUCGUCCGCUGAGGACGACUUUUCCACGCUGUAAGAAGGCAGAGGAAUAAGGAGAGGGCAAGUCUGGUGUCAGCCACCGCGGUAAUACCAGCUCUCCGAGUGGUAGGGAUGAUUAUUGGGCUUAAAGCGUCCGUAGCUGGCCUUUCAAGUCUCUUGUUAAAUCCAGCGAUUCAAUCGUUGGACUGCGGGAGAUACUGUUAGGCUAGGGGGCGGGAGAAGCCGACGGUAUUUCCGGGGUAGGGGUAAAAUCCUAUAAUCCCGGGAAGACCACCAGUGGCGAAGGCGUCACGCUAGAACGGAUCCGACGGUCAGGGACGAAGCCCAGGGGCGCAAACGGGAUUAGAUACCCCUGGAGUCC
rnacentral:rRNA from 1 species